GAGUGGCAAUAUUACUUUGCUUGGAGGCUUCAUCAACUUCAAUUGCUUUAUUGUCUUCCACUUCUGGUAGUUUGUCCUCAUGAACCUGCUGAUCAUCACCAUUUGGCUCACCAUCUACUGCUGGCUUCUCAAGGGUAGAAACUAUGUGUUCUUGCUGAUCUUCUGGUUCCAUGGCUUCAAUAUCUCUUGUUUCUUCUGUUAAGCCCAGUUCUUGUACUUCUUGGACAUCAGGAGUUGGUUCAAUUCUUGGUACUUGAUCUGCCUCUCCAGGAGUAGGAAAGCUACUGAUAUGUGAGAAUUCUUCAGUUUUGUCAUCUUCACUGUCCUUGAUUUCUUGAGAUGUCAGAUUCUGCACUUCUUGUGUGUUAAAAGAUGGGUCUGUUACUGAUGUAUUUUCUUCUGUUGGAGUAUGAUCAUCAGAAGUAGAACCAUGGGUCUCUCCUGGAUGUUCCGUUGUGUCAGUGCUGUCUUCAACUGAUUCUAGUUCACGAACAGGUUCACUACCAGUACGUGGGGCAUUUGGUGUUGAAGUAUCGUCUUCAGUGCUCUCCUUUAUAUCUGCAACAUUACUCUCAUGAGGGACUGCUUCAGUCUCCAUGGUUUCCAGGAUCUUUUCUGAUGUAUAGUCACUUGAUGUCAUAACAUCCUCUGUUUCAAUUGUUCCUGUGUCCUUGGUCUCUUCU
rnacentral:lncRNA from 1 species